CCUACGGGAGGCAGCAGUGGGGAUUAUUGCACAAUGGGGGAAACCCUGAUGCAGCAACGCCGCGUGAGUGAAGAAGUAUUUCGGUAUGUAAAGCUCUAUCAGCAGGGAAGAAAAUGACAGUACCUGACUAAGAAGCCCCGGCUAACUACGUGCCAGCAGCCGCGGUAAUACGUAGGGGGCAAGCGUUAUCCGGAUUUACUGGGUGAAAAGGGAGCGUAGACGGCUGCGCAAGUCAGAAGUGAAAGCCCGGGCGCAACCGCGGGAAUGCUUUUGAAACUGUGUAGCUAGAGUGCAGGAGAGGUAAGUGGAAUUCCUAGUGUAGCGGUGAAAUGCGUAGAUAUUAGGAGGAACACCGGUGGCGAAGGCGGCUUACUGGACUGUAACUGACGUUGAGGCUCGAAAGCGUGGGGAGCAAACAGGAUUAGAUACCCCGGUAGUC
rnacentral:rRNA from 1 species